UCGAGCGCACCUUCGGGUGAGCGGCGGACGGGUUAGUAACGCGUGGGAACAUACCCUUUUCUACGGAAUAGCCUCGGGAAACUGAGAGUAAUACCGUAUACGCCCUUCGGGGGAAAGAUUUAUCGGUGAAGGAUUGGCCCGCGUCUGAUUAGAUAGUUGGUGGGGUAAUGGCCUACCAAGUCUACGAUCAGUAGCUGGUUUGAGAGGAUGAUCAGCAACACUGGGACUGAGACACGGCCCAGACUCCUACGGGAGGCAGCAGUGGGGAAUCUUAGACAAUGGGCGCAAGCCUGAUCUAGCGAUGCCGCGUGAGUGAUGAAGGUCUUAGGAUCGUAAAGCUCUUUCGCCAGGGAUGAUAAUGACAGUACCUGGUAAAGAAACCCCGGCUAACUCCGUGCCAGCAGCCGCGGUAAUACGGAGGGGGUUAGCGUUGUUCGGAAUUACUGGGCGUAAAGCGCGCGUAGGCGGAUUAUUAAGUUAGAGGUGAAAUCCCGGGGCUCAACCCCGGAACUGCCUUUAAUACUGGUAAUCUAGAGUUCGAGAGAGGUGAGUGGAAUUCCGAGUGUAGAGGUGAAAUUCGUAGAUAUUCGGAGGAACACCAGUGGCGAAGGCGGCUCACUGGCUCGAUACUGACGCUGAGGUGCGAAAGCGUGGGGAGCAAACA
rnacentral:rRNA from 1 species